rnacentral:rRNA from 1 species
AGUGAACGCUGGCGGUAGGCCUAACACAUGCAAGUCGAACGGCAGCACAGUAAGAGCUUGCUCUUACGGGUGGCGCGUGGCGGACGGGUGAGGAAUACAUCGGAAUCUACUUUUUCGUGGGGGAUAACGUAGGGAAACUUACGCUAAUACCGCAUACGACCUACGGGUGAAAGCAGGGGAUCUUCGGACCUUGCGCGAUUGAAUGAGCCGAUGUCGGAUUAGCUAGUUGGCGGGGUGAAGGCCCACCAAGGCGACGAUCCGUAGCUGGUCUGAGAGGAUGAUCAGCCACACUGGAACUGAGACACGGUCAAGACUCCUACGGGAGGCAGCAGUGGGGAAUAUUGGACAAUGGGCGCGAGCCUGAUCCAGCCAUACCGCGUGGGUGAAGAAGGCCUUCGGGUUGUAAAGCCCUUUUGUUGGGAAAGAAAAGCAGCAGGUUAAUACCCCGCUGUUCUGACGGUACCCAAAGAAUAAGCACCGGCUAACUUCGUG